rnacentral:tRNA from 1 species
GCGGCUAUUGUAUAAUGGUUAUUACGUCGGUUUGUGGUACCGAAAAUCCGGGUUCGAUUCCCGGUAGCCGCCCA